UGCCCCAAGCCGGGGCACCUGAUGCAGCUACCACUUCCAUGCCGCGUGUGUGAAGAAGGCCUUCGGGUCACUGUAAAGCACUUUCAGCGCAGGAGGAAGGGGUUGGGGUUAAUAGCCUCGAUUGAUUGACGUUACCCGCAGAAUAAGCACCGGCUAACUCCUCGGCGUGCCAGCAGCCGCGGUAAUACGGAGGGUGCAAGCGUUAAUCGGAAUUACUGGGCGUAAAGCGCACGCAGGCGGUUUGUCAAGUCGGAUGUGAAAUCCCCGGGCUCAACCUGGGAACUGCAUUCGAAACUAAGUUGGCAGGCUAGAGUCUUGUAGAGGGGGGUAGAAUUCCAGGUGUAGCGGUGAAAUGCGACAUAGAGAUCUGGAGGAAUACCGGUGGCGAAGGCGGCCCCCUGGACCAAGACUGACGCUCAGGUGCGAAAGCGUGGGGAGCAAACAGGAUUAGAUACCCUGGUAGUCCACGCCGUAAACGAUGUCGACUUGGAGGUUGUGCCCUUGAGGCGUGGCUUCCGGAGCUAACGCGUUAAGUCGACCGCCUGGGGAGUACGGCCGCAAGGUUAAAACUCAAAUGAAUUGACGGGGGCCCGCACAAGCGGUGGAGCAUGUGGUUUAAUUCGAUGCAACGCGAAGAACCUUACCUACUCUUGACAUCCAGAGAACUUACCAGAGAUGCUUUGGUGCCUUCGGGAACUCUGAGACAGGUGCUGCAUGGCUGUCGUCAGCUCGUGUUGUGAAAUGUUGGGUUAAGUCCCGCAACGAGCGCAAGGAUCCCUUAUCCUUUGUUGCCAGCGCGUCGUGCUGGAACUGCGAAGAAAAUCGCCGUGAUAAACUUGCAGAAAGGUGGGAGUAACUCCAGCCCUUCUUGUCCGUCCCAGUAUGGCUUCCCCUCUGGUUACAUUGGUCAUACCAAUAUAAUCCACUUACCCGAUAUCGAAAGUAACUGAUCUCCUAAACCCCCUGCUCGGCUAAUCAGUAGCCCUAGUAAUCGUGCCGUGAAUGGAAUCGGCCACUCCACCCCUGGAAUGCGAAUGCCUCCGGGGAAACCUUGCCUGAGUUCCGGCCUUAUAACCCCGCCCCUCCGCCUUGGGAAGGAUGGCUGGUUGCCAUAAAAAAGGUACUUAACCUUCGGAGCCAGUAGCCUUCCCCUGUUUUAACGAUGACAAGAGGGGGGCACCUGGCACGGCCCCUCUUUAAUCUUGCGACGUAUGCGGUAUUACCGUUUCCAGUAGAGUU
rnacentral:rRNA from 1 species